GAAAAAUUGGGAAAAGAGGACUGAGAAAUGCAAGAACAGUGGACACGUACAGGAAAUGUAUUUCAAAUAGUCUAAGCAAGAGCCAUGUAAGACAUCCUUGAUAGAUUGCAAUCUCUGCUGUAGCCAAAAGAACACCCGAGAUCGCAUGGUCAAGAACUUCAACGCAUCGAAUUCGGGCCGAAUCUUCAAUUGGAAGCAUAUACAUAACUUGUUCAGUCACACCACCAGAUUCAGAAGUGAUGAGAUAAUACAGAACCCAAAAGAACACCAUCGACUGAGAGACAAAGUUAAAAACCUCAGCCGCUCCUGAAAUGAUAGAACUACCAAUCGAAAGCAUUAGCUUCGCACUGCCUCCAAGUACUGAUACACUGCUAGCAAACACUCGCUGCGAAAUAUCCAUCCCUUGAACCGCUAAUCCUUUUGCUUUCUCAACUAAAUCCUCCCUAGUGAUUAUCAACUCCCUAAUAAUUGCAUCCAGCUCGGUAUAAAUCUGGCCCCAUUCCUUGUUACUAAUCCGGUUUCUCAGGCUCAUAAGUUUGUGCGUGUACGGCGAUGGAGUCAUUAGAGAAGUUGAAG
rnacentral:misc_RNA from 1 species